ensembl:snRNA U6 U6 spliceosomal RNA
GUGCUUGCUUCAGCAGCAUGUAUACUAAAAUUGGAAUGAUACAGAAUUUUGUAUGGCCCUUGUGCAAGGAUGAUACACAAAUUUGUGAAGGGUUCCAUAUGUAA